rnacentral:lncRNA from 1 species
UUAAAAAAUAAUGAGUUAUGGGUUAAUAUUAGGGGUAAAUCAAUGAAUGGUUUAUUAGGCUUUUAUGGAGUGAGUGGGUUAAACCUAAGUGCCUUUAUCAUCUUGACAUAUCAAAUCAAAUGGUGUGGUCUUGACAUGCAUAAUCAAGCAAGUUAUAGAAUAACAAAUCAAGAUUGACGCACUCAAGCAACAAUAAAAGUGAACAUGAAAGAAAUAAUAGAUGCUUUAAAGGCUCA